rnacentral:rRNA from 1 species
UACGGAGGGUGCAAACGUUGCUCGGAAUCAUUGGGCGUAAAGCGCACGUAGGCGGCCUGUUAAGUCGGGUGUGAAAGCCCUGGGCUCAACCCAGGAACUGCUUCGAAUACUGGCGGACUUGAGGCUAGUAGGGGUUACUGGAACUGACGGUGGAGCGGUGAAAUGCGUAGAUAUCGUCAGGAACGCCAAUGGUGAAGACAGGUAACUGGGCUAGUUCUGACACUGAGGCACGAAAGCGUGGGGAGCGAACGGG